rnacentral:rRNA from 1 species
UACGUAGGGGGCUAGCGUUGUCCGGAAUCAUUGGGCGUAAAGCGCGUGUAGGCGGUCCGGUAAGUCCGCUGUGAAAGUCGGGGGCUCAACCCUCGGAUGCCGGUGGAUACUGCUUGGCUUGAGACCGGAAGAGGUGAGUGGAACUGCGAGUGUAGAGGUGAAAUUCGUAGAUAUUCGCAAGAACACCAGUGGCGAAGGCGGCUCACUGGUCCGGAUCUGACGCUGAGGCGCGAAAGCGUGGGGAGCAAACAGG